CCUACGGGCGGCAGCAGUGGGGAAUAUUGCACAAUGGGCGCAAGCCUGAUGCAGCCAUGCCGCGUGUGUGAAGAAGGCCUUCGGGUUGUAAAGCACUUUCAGCGGGGAGGAAGGCGGUGAGGUUAAUAACCUCAUCGAUUGACGUUACCCGCAGAAGAAGCACCGGCUAACUCCGUGCCAGCAGCCGCGGUAAUACGGAGGGUGCAAGCGUUAAUCGGAAUUACUGGGCGUAAAGCGCACGCAGGCGGUCUGUCAAGUCGGAUGUGAAAUCCCCGGGCUCAACCUGGGAACUGCAUUCGAAACUGGCAGGCUAGCGUCUUGUAGAGGGGGGUAGAAUUCCAGGUGUAGCGGUGAAAUGCGUAGAGAUCUGGAGGAAUACCGGUGGCGAAGGCGGCCCCCUGGACAAAGACUGACGCUCAGGUGCGAAAGCGUGGGGAGCAAACAGGAUUAGAUACCCGAGUAGUC
rnacentral:rRNA from 1 species